GAUGAACGCUGGCGGCGUGCCUAAUACAUGCAAGUCGAGCGAACAGAUGAGGAGCUUGCUCCUCUGACGUUAGCGGCGGACGGGUGAGUAACACGUGGAUAACCUACCUAUAAGACUGGGAUAACUUCGGGAAACCGGAGCUAAUACCGGAUAAUAUAUUGAACCGCAUGGUUCAAUAGUGAAAGACGGUUUUGCUGUCACUUAUAGAUGGAUCCGCGCCGCAUUAGCUAGUUGGUAAGGUAACGGCUUACCAAGGCAACGAUGCGUAGCCGACCUGGGAGGGUGGUCGGCCACACUGGAACUGAGACACGGUCCAGACUCCUACGGGAGGCAGCAGUAGGGAAUCUUCCGCAAUGGGCGGAAGCCUGACGGAGCAACGCCGCGUGAGUGAUGAAGGUCUUCGGAUCGUAAAACUCUGUUAUUAGGGAAGAACAAAUGUGUAAGUAACUAUGCACGUCUUGACGGUACCUAAUCAGAAAGCCACGGCUAACUACGUG
rnacentral:rRNA from 1 species